rnacentral:rRNA from 1 species
UACGUAGGGCGCAAGCGUUAUCCGGAAUUAUUGGGCGUAAAGAGCUCGUAGGCGGUUUGUCGCGUCUGCCGUGAAAGUCCGGGGCUCAACUCCGGAUCUGCGGUGGGUACGGGCAGACUAGAGUGAUGUAGGGGAGACUGGAAUUCCUGGUGUAGCGGUGAAAUGCGUAGAGAUCGGGAGGAACACCGGUGGCGAAGGCGGGUCUCUGGGCAAUUCCUGACGCUGAGGCGCGAAAGCGUGGGGAGCAAACGGG